GACGAACGCUGGCGGCGUGCUUAACACAUGCAAGUCGAACGGAAAGGCCCUGCUUUUGUGGGGUGCUCGAGUGGCGAACGGGUGAGUAACACGUGAGUAACCUGCCCUUGACUUUGGGAUAACUUCAGGAAACUGGGGCUAAUACCGGAUAGGAGCUCCUGCUGCAUGGUGGGGGUUGGAAAGUUUCGGCGGUUGGGGAUGGACUCGCGGCUUAUCAGCUUGUUGGUGGGGUAGUGGCUUACCAAGGCUUUGACGGGUAGCCGGCCUGAGAGGGUGACCGGCGACAUUGGGACUGAGAUACGGCCCAGAAUCCUACGGGAGGCAGCAGUGGGGAAUAUUGCACAAUGGGCGGAAGCCUGAUGCAGCAACGCCGCGUGCGGGAUGACGGCCUUCGGGUUGUAAACCGCUUUCGCCUGUGACGAAGAGUGAGUGACGGUAAUGGGUAAAGAAGCACCGGCUAACUACGUG
rnacentral:rRNA from 1 species